CCUACGGGAGGCAGCAGUGAGGAAUAUUGGUCAAUGGGCGGGAGCCUGAACCAGCCAAGUCGCGUGAAGGAAGAAGGUACUUAGUAUUGUAAACUUCUUUUGUCGGGGAACAAAGGCGGAGACGCGUCUCCGGAUGAGUGUACCCGAAGAAAAAGCAUCGGCUAACUCCGUGCCAGCAGCAACGGUAAUACGGAGGAUGCUAGCGUUAUCCGGAUUUAUUGGGUUUAAAGGGUGCGUAGGCGGGGCGUUAAGUCAGUGGUCAAAUUGAGGGGCUCAACCCCUUCCCGCCAUUGAAACUGGCGCUCUUGAGUGGAAGAGAAGUAUGCGGAAUGCGUGGUGUAGCGGUGAAAUGCAUAGAUAUCACGCAGAACCCCGAUUGCGAAGGCAGCAUGCCGGCUUCCGACUGACGCUGAAGCACGAAAGCGUGGGGAUCGAACAGGAUUAGAUACCCUAGUAGUC
rnacentral:rRNA from 1 species